GCCGACUGCGCUGGCUGGCGGCGCCCCGAGGCGGGCUGCGUUGGCCCGGAGGCUGGCAGACGCACCCGGCAGGCGCUGGGCCCGACCACAUGAAAGGCCGGAGUGCUCCACCCGCCAGCUGUCCCGAGCUGGGUUCUGGCGCCGCCGCCAUGCACCCCAGGACCCGGCCUUCGAAGGGCCACCUUCCUCCCCAGGCCUAGGGAUCGGGCUCACGGUUAAGGAGCUCCAGCCCUGGGGCCGGGUGGCCCACAUGUGGGAGCGCAUUGUUUCCCCUGCCAGGCUCCCAGGCUCCCAGGCUCAAAGACGAAGACGGGCACCAGCUCGGAGGCUCUACUGACCGACCGCUUGUCUCUAAUUCUUGCCUGACACAGACAUUCCUUGCCCAGGGAAGUGUUUGAUUUAUGUUGAGGUUUGAGUGUCGGGAUUUUGCUGACAGGAGAAUCAGAUACCUGUCAGACUGAGAAAGUGUGGAAUAAUUGCUGUGAGCUGCCUCUGUCAAGAACAAGGAGUAAAGACCUCGUCUGCCCUGCUCGCUGCUGCAUCUCCAGCGCUACUUAACAGGGCGGGCUGACAGCCCGGGCUCGGUACACCCGGUAUCGGGGCAGCGUGCCACGCCUUCACACGCACUGUCUCACGUAAUCCUCCCAGCGACCCCGUGAGACAGGCACUUUGCUGAUCCCUGCGUUAGAGCUGAGGACACUGAGGUACGGAGUGAUGAAGUGAGUCACUAAGCCGCAGAGCUUAGAAGUGGUAGCGCUAGAGCUGGGUUUGAUGCAAGAGCAAAGCCUGGUGUCCAACCACUUCUCAGACGUUAUUGGUGGCAGGAGAGCCACUGGGUGCCAGCUGUGACUGCAAAGCGCACUGCAUCCCCAAGGACGGCACAUUUGUCUGCCCGCCUCCUGGAAGGCUGGGAGUUUCUGUCAGCUGUGUUGCAACUCACAGGUAAAGGGCUGUGGAGGUGACUCAUGUUGGCUGGGCUCAGAUGGAGGCUGGGAUUCCAGGCGGCGUGUCUGUGCUCGCUGGACUUUUUUAAAUGGGUCCUCUCUCUGUACUUCUGAGUUUUGUCUCUUUAAUCACCUGCACCCAUCUGCAGAGAUCAGCAGAGGCCCAAGUCAUGGGGCAGAGGGGUCCCGUGUCUCCAAACACGGGAAGGCACCCUGGAUGGGACAGAGGGACUAGUGGUCUAGGAUAGGUGGAUAAGGACACCGGGAGACUAUUUACAAGGUUGCCAGACCCCUCAGCAGGAGCUAGGCCUCCAGUUCCAGCCCUUCAUUAAAUGAAUGAGAGAUGCCAGGGUUUGAGAGAGACACUGCCCCAGCUUUGCUCCUACCCCUUCCAUCCUCCUGUAUAGCACGGGCAUGGCCCAGGGCUAGGCUAGGCUGCAUCUCCUCCCCUCUUUGGAUUGGCCCAAUUCUUGGUAUUUUGGCCGAGGAGAGUGAAAACAGAGGCCAGCUGAUGACCUGUGACAUGCUAAUUACAUAUUCACGGUAGCAACAGUAAUAAUGGUGGCUGUUACUUUGCCCUUCAUGUACGGGAAGCACCGUGCUGAGUUAUCUCCGUUAGCUGGCAGUACCGCUCUGACAUCCCGUUUCACGUCCCGGCCCAACCAUGUCAUGUUGGGCAAAUGACUUAGACUUUCUAAGCCUCCGUUUCCUCAGCUGUAGAGUGAGGGUCAUGUGAGGAUGAAAUGAGAUGGUGCAUGUGAGGUUCACCGGGCAGUCCCUGGCACGUAGCGCUCCAUCGUUGUUAGGAAAGACCUUUUUUUCUCAUGUAAUACUCAUGUAAACUCUGUGAGGAAGCUGUUCCCUCAUUUUACAGAUGCAGAAACUGACUCAGACGGGUUAAAUGACAUCUCAAAAGUGAAAAGCUAGUAAGGAGAAGAGUUGAGAUAUGAACCCACAUCUUCCUGCCUCCAUUCUUGUAGAGCUAGAUGAAUUGAGGGAUUGUCCCAGGUUCAAGUUCUGCCUGACCACUUCUAGCUGUAUGACCGGGUAAUCUCUCUCGGGGCUUGUUUCCCUCCCUCUGAGACAAGAUUAAUGAAUCACUGUAAGGGGGGAGGUGCAUAUCAGAUCAUCUAGGUUUCCUUUUCUAGAUUACUUCUGGAAGAGAAAUGUUCCUCUUCUCGACACACGAUCUGCCCCCUCUGGAAGAUGGCAUGGUCCUUCAUCCCUCCUCCUUUCCAGGAUUAUCUCGAAGAGUGUUACACUCUUGGCAUGUUAGGGAGGAGUAAAGAUUAGGACUACUGAGUUAAGUAUGUGCUAAGAGCAAGGGCUGUUUGUCUGCAAAGGUUGUGCACUGCACAAUCACAGUGCCAUUGUACAGUACAGGACUUGCGCUGUUAGACACUACGGCCCUGCUAACAGUCUUUUUUUUUUUUCUAACACAUUAAGACUUCAUGGUUAUCCAAAACUUAAGGAAAAUCUGUUGACCUACAUAAAAAUAUCAAAAAGGCAAAUUUCAAAAUGUUAAUAGUACUUCUCUAUAGGUGCCAAAAUGACAGAAUUUUAAUUUUUUCCCUAUUUCCUCUCCCCUACCAAGUUUCUGCACUGAUCUUGCGUUGCUUUGUAAUUGGAAAUGCUAUACAAAACGCCAGUUUUGUUUUUAAUAUUUUUAUUUUUUACUUUUUGAAAGUAAUCUCUACACCCAACAUGGGGCUUGAAGUCAUGACCCUGAGAUCAGGGGUCAUAUACCCUACUGACCGAGCCCACCAGGCACCCCUACAAAACCUGUUAUAAUGCCCAUUAACUAAAUGGUCCCCAUGUCCCCAUUCUUCUUGGAGUGAAAGCAGAGAUAGAGUAGUAAAGAUUGGGAGUCCUUUCUCGAGCUUCCUUGUGAAGUGCUUGAACGGAGAAUGGGGGCUGCCCAACUCUCAGGCUCUCAGCAGGGAGCUCAGGAAUCAGCUCUAAUCUUGCCUUCAUUCAAAUUACUAUCAUUUAUCGAGCACUCACCCCAUGAUACUUGCUUAAGAUGCUUUAUCCCAUUCCUCCCUGUCAAAUGGGAUCAUUUAAUCCCCCUGGGAGGACUUGGCUCCUGGAGUACUGCCAAGUUACUAAAGGAUAUCAACUCUGCAGUCAACUACCCAAGACCUUGGACAAGCAGCUUUCUUCCUUGUUACCUGACUUUUGGCCUCGCUGAAGUGAUCACUGUGAGGACUGAAGGAGGGGUCAAACUGCGGGCUUGGAGGGUUCAGAUGGGGGUUUCCUGGAGGAACUACAAGGAAAGUGUCCGAAGCCUGGCGUGGACACAGCCCGGUUUUCCUUCACGGCCUGCCUGUGGUGUGUGCUGAGCUCUGGUCUCACUGGAGAAGGGGGUGGGGAGGGACAGGCUCGGGUCUCCUGGGCGCCGCACCUUCUCAGCAAGACAGAGGCCAUGUAGUCCCAGGAUGUGGGACCCGAGGCGUGAAGAGGCCAGGGAGCUCAAUGGAGUCCUACAGCCCGACUGACCAGGCUGGGAUUCGAACCCGGGACGUUUGGCUCUAAAGCUCAAGCCCCGCACCCCCAAUUCCCCCCCUCCCCGUCCAGGUGGGCAAACUGAGGCCCAGAGAAGUAAAGUGAUUUGCUCAAGGUGAGCGGUGGAGCUGGGACUUGAACCUGGGCCGGAAUGAUCCCAGAACAUCUGGCAGCCACAACUUCAUAUGCACACUUGCUGGAAGCCUUGUUGGGGAAGCCCUGCCUAGACGGUGGUGAGACCCAGAUCUACCCAUCUUUCGUGACAGCUCAGACUCUUUUCGGAAGGCCCACCUGAUCAUCUUGUAGUCCUCCAGCAGCAAAUGCAGCAUCCAGACGCAGCCAGUUGUGAAGAGAACGUUUCCAUAGGAAUUGUGCAAUAUGGCUAUCGUCUCCAGGCCCCAGUCCAGCCCAAGCCACUACCCCUUCUGGCUGGGAAGUUUCUUUCCUCUUCCCUCUUGCAUGAAACUGUUAGGCUCGGCUCAAGCCCACUCCCUUCCCCCUUUCUCUCCUAUCUUCCCUCUUCUCCCCAGCGCCUGGCUCUGCCCUGCUCUGGCUCACCCUUCCCCGGGCAGUGGGUUCCAUACCUCUCCUGGACCCCAAUCGCUCAUGAAUUCUCUAAAGUCAUGACAGGGAAUCCCACAGAUGCGUCCUGGACAACACAGGAAUGCCGAAGAUGUCCCAGGCAGAAAAGGUUCUGGGAGCAAACCAGGUGGGCAAAGUUGCACACCAGACCCUCUUCUUAAAAAUGAACAAUGCACAGGCAAGUCUCUGAAGUCCAGCAAGUCCAGCAGUCAGAAAACCUGUUUUGUUUGCUUUUUCAACUCAGGGUUUCCCAAACUGAGGUGGCCACAUAAUCAUGUUCCCUGUCCCUGCCGCAUACCUGUGACAACAGGAGAACCAGGGACUGCGGAACACACUUUGGGAAAUUCUACCCCCAGCCUUCCACCCAAGUUUGCAGUUCAUCUUGGUUUCAUUGAUUUAAGCCUUUCCUGUUUCUUGGGGCUAAUCUCACAAAAUAAUCUAAGGUGAUGUCUGCCCAGUAGGGUCUUCAAGAAACAUAUACUUGAUGGGGAUGAAGGUUUUCUUAAGACUUGAUGAUGUGAUGCCCAGAAUAGAUCAAGGAAUUUCUAGAAUGUGGAAGGAGGGGGAGUAGAAGUUGAAACAACAGCAGACAGCACUUACCAAAUCUUCAUUUGUUCCCUAGUCAGAGGACCAAAGCCAGGGAUAGAAUGAUCAAACCAGAGUGAAUGAGUGAACAGACUUCCUGACUGGUCAGAAGGUUGGGAGACUGUGAAUGAAUGCCUGCAUGCAUGCAUGAAUGCAUGAAUGAAAAUCAAGCAGCUGGUCCCCAGAUUAGAACCUGCCACCCAUGUUCAAUGGAAGAAGCCAGAUGUAAAAAGAGGACACUAUGAAUGACUCCAUUUAUGUGAAGGUCAACAACAGAUCAAGCUACUCUACUGUGACAAAAACAGAGCUGUGGUUGCCUUUGGGGAGUAGGCAUUGCCUGGAAGGGGCACAAAGGGCUUUUGGGGGAAUAGAAAUAGUCUUGAUCUUGAUUCCGGUGGUAGUUACACGAGUGUAUGCUUUUGUCAGAAUUCACCAAAUUGUACAUUUAAGAUCUGUGCACUUACCUGUAUUGUACGUUUAAUCUAAAAAUAAAAAUCUUACCACUUAGG